ACAGGUGGUGCAUGGCUGUCGUCAGCUCGUGUCGUGAGAUGUUGGGUUAAGUCCCGCAACGAGCGCAACCCUCGCCAUUAGUUGCCAGCAUUAAGUUGGGCACUCUAAUGGGACUGCCGGUGUCAAACCGGAGGAAGGCGGGGAUGACGUCAAGUCCUCAUGGCCUUUAUGACCAGGGCUACACACGUACUACAAUGGCCGGUACAACGGGCUGCCACUUCGCGAGAAGGCGCAAAUCCCUAAAAGCCGGUCUCAGUCCGGAUUGGAGUCUGCAACUCGACUCCAUGAAGUGGAAUCGCUA
rnacentral:rRNA from 1 species